CUAAGGGAGUUCCCAUAGCCAUAAAAUCAACUCUUUCUACGGCUAGACACUGCCUGCCAUAUCACAGCAUUGAAAAUAACACAUAUUUUAAGAUUUUUAUAAGAAUACGAUCAAGAAAAGCCGACUGUUUCUACAUAGCAUCCAUUUCGCACACGGUGCCACCAUUCUCGUCGGAAAAUGCCUUGUAAAUCGCAAUCGCGAAACAAAUGCUGGACAUCAGCUGUCAACUUAGGCUAUGUAGGACUGGUGCUUGUCUUGGCUGGAGGGGCCUCUGCUAUGGAUGUGCUGGUAGCCAAUCAGAUCACAGCGCUCAACGGAACCAAGGUCAAAAUCUCCUGCACGUUCACAUCCUGUUACAAGGUGGAAAACAGCAAGUUUGCCAUGAACUGGAGCUACCAAGAGACAGCCAAUGACACCAGGGAUAUUUUCAUGAUCUUUCAUAAGAACAAGAUGCAGCCGACCGGCAUGCGGUUUGGGGACCGGGUGGCGUUCGUGGGGAACGUGGAGAAGAACGAUCUGUCGGUCACCCUGGAGGACGUGCAGAUCUCCGACGAGGGCUUGUACCACUGCUGGGUGCACAACCCACCGGACCGCGUGCUGGGCCUCGGGACCAUCGAGCUCGUUGUGGUGACAGAACUGCCGCCCCCUCGGGACACGACCAUCGCCGUGGUGAUCGGCGCGUCGGUGGGGGGCAUCCUGGCCCUGCUCAUCCUCUCCAUGGUGGUGGUGAAGUGCGUGCGUCGCCACCGGAAACAGGAGCUCAUCUCCGACGAGCAGAAGAUGGAGGAGGAGGGCAAGCUGGACCCGGAGGGGGGCACGGAGGAGGGCACCAAACAACUGUAACCAGGCUGCUGGUUCCAGAGGGCCUUGGGUUGGUGGAGCCUGCCCCGCCUCUAAUGUGCUGAAAUAUAUAUUCCCUGCCUGAAGAUGUAUAUUGAACCUUGCUUGAGUCAACGUCCUGCAACUGCCUCACCUUUAGCCCCGAUCCUCUUCUUGUUCCUUCGCACAAGAUCUCAGACUACGGGCAAAGGCCCACAUCCAAGCAACAAACUGCUUCAAGUCUACUGUACCGACCAGGCCGAUCUGAGUCUGGCUAUCCACAUGUCCUGGUUCCUUGGUCUUUCUUAGUGUAGAUGUCCCAGAAACUAAGCAUCUAGAUUAUAGGUUAAGAACAAGUUAGGCUAGCCGUCUGAACACUGCCACUUUUGCUCUCUCUCUCUCUCUCUCUCUCUCUCUCUCUCUCUCUCUCUCUCUCUCUCUCUCUCAUGGACUAAAAGUAAACAGUAGAAUGGGAAUCCAUGAGAAUAUUUCCACACAAGCGAUUUUGGUUUACUGGAGUCGUUAUUUAGCGUAUCUUCCAGAGUGUGUUGUGAUUUCAAUUUGUUUUUGUCUUCCACAAGCUGCCAAACUAUUUUAUAAAAAGGUAAACUGUAUAAUAGAGUAAAAAAAAAAAUCUUUCUUAACAAGCACAUGUCACCGUGUCCCACUGUUGAGUAGUUUACCUGGCUAUCUAGAUGAAGAAUGAAGAUGUUUUUGUUUUCCCUUAACUAUGGAUAGGUUUCCUGUAUCUUUCCCCAAGCCUCAUGUUUAUCUCUAGGGACCAAUGUGGGACAGGCAUAUCCGUAUCUUCUUUAUAUGAUAGCUAGUUAGAGUGUCUGUGUGCCAAGUGUAUGAAGGGACAGUUUCAUAUGUGUGCUGGGUGGUGUACAUUCUUUUGUAUCUGUUUGCAUCUUGAGAACCCCUUAGAUAGCAUUUAACCCAGCGGUCCCGCUAGGGAACGUGCAUCUACUCCCAGAUCUUAGUAUGGGAGACAGAUACAGAAUGCAUCUGUGUGUGUGUGUGUGUGUGUGUGUGUGUGUGUGUGUGUGUGUGUGUGUGUGUGUGUGAGAGAGAGAAUGUGUUUGUGUAUGUUGGAGUGUGUGUUAUAUGGAUAAUUCCUCUUGGCGAAGAUCUGAACACUAAGGUAGUAAUUUUCCUUGUUUGUUGCACUGCUUGCUACUGUGUUGUUGAGUCAUGCCUUCGUCACCUGGGUGCAGUUUGUUGUGCAGUUAUUUGGCACCUUAGCAUGUUUUCAUUUGCGCACACAAUGACAGAUCCCACUUAGUCUACGGAAAGCCCUGUCAUCCCCCAAUACAAGUAUCAAUUAAAUAUGUUCCACUGCACCUAUACAUGCAUGAAGAGGUCUACUGACAGCAUAUCACACAGACACACACAAAGGGAACAUUCAUGCAUACACCCUUAUUAGACACAGAGACCUCAUUACUCCACACAAACACAUACACACACACACACACACACACACACAAACACACACACACACACAC